UCUCAGUGAUGAAACAUUCACAUGUCUUACUUCCUAGUCUACUCCCAGAGCCUGUAAAAGUGUACCCCCUGGGGCUGGCUGAGGGAGAAGAGGAGAAGGAACUGUCUUAGGGAU